UAUGUACUCUCUCCGUUCGGAAUUACUUGUCACAAAAAUGGAUGUAUCUACAACUAAAAUACAUCUAUAUACAUUCAUUUCUUGGAUGAGUAAUUUCGAACGGAGGGAGUAGCUC
rnacentral:pre_miRNA from 1 species